GGAGGGACUGAGCCGGGCACUGGGCGCCUCUCCCACGCCCCCUCCCGGGCCCUGGGCGGGCUGUCAUCUGCUGCCUCCCAGGGUCCCAAGCUCUGCAGGAUGUGCAGCUCAGCCCGGGAAGGACCUUCACCAUCAGCCUCUGUGCCCAGGGGCUCAGCAAGUCUACAUGUGAGCUCUCAGAUGUGGCUUUGAGCUCCCACUCACUCCUGCCCAGGUCCUGAGUCCGGGUCUUGGGCUCUGUGUGAGGGACGCACAGCCAGGCAGAGGCUCUCUCUGUGACUGGACAGGGCUGCCCCAUGCCCCCACACCCAGGUCUCUGCCAGAGGGCCAUGAGGACAUCAUCGCUGACAAUCAAGACAUCUUGUCCCUGCUGCCAGCUGCCCUUUCCCUCUCUCAGACACACACAUGCUGCACACUCAUACCCCCACUCACACUCCCACAUACACACUCAUAGCCCCCA